UAAAUGAGUGUUGGGAGGACUAAAUUAAAAUGGAAGGAAACAAAAAGGGCAAAACGAUAAUGUUAUGUGAAGUUUGAUCAAAGCUUCCAAAGGAAGUUUUGACUCUGAUUUUUUUUCAGCCCAAAACUGCUCUUAUCUCCUCCAGCAAGAUGUUUCUUCUUCAUUCUUGAAGCUUCCAAUGCCAUUCUCUCAUUCUCCCAUGGAAAGUUAAUUUUCUUUCAUUUUCUUUCCUUGUUUUUUUUUCACUUCCUUUCUCUUCUUGCUUCUUUCUUCUCCCAACUCCUUGUGCACCAAAGUUAGAACUUCUAAACCCAAUUUCCAGCACUUCCAAACCCAAGGAGAGAGAAACAAAAAUCUCUCUUUCUUUCCUUUAUUUUCUAUUUCUACUUCACUUUCAACAACACUUGGAUUUUUGGCUUCAAAUCUUCAUUUUCAAGGUUGAAAGGUAUAUAUUUCC
rnacentral:lncRNA from 1 species